UGUAAUUGGAGGUGUUUUGGUUAAUUUGUCAAUUUUCACUCAAAUGGCAAGGUUUGUGGUUACAGUUGCGAAAGUGGGCCUUGUACACACUCCAAAUAUGAUUUCUUAGCAAUUUCAAUUGGCAAAAUAUAUUGGAAGGGCUUAAAUUGCAAAAUCACUUUUUCACCUCACUUGAAAUAAUUCAAAUCACUUCAAAAAGUGCCA
rnacentral:lncRNA from 1 species